rnacentral:rRNA from 1 species
AGCUUGCUGCUUCGCUGACGAGUGGCGGACGGGUGAGUAAUGUCUGGGAAACUGCCUGAUGGAGGGGGAUAACUACUGGAAACGGUAGCUAAUACCGCAUAACGUCGCAAGACCAAAGAGGGGGACCUUCGGGCCUCUUGCCAUCGGAUGUGCCCAGAUGGGAUUAGCUAGUAGGUGGGGUAACGGCUCACCUAGGCGACGAUCCCUAGCUGGUCUGAGAGGAUGACCAGCCACACUGGAACUGAGACACGGUCCAGACUCCUACGGGAGGCAGCAGUGGGGAAUAUUGCACAAUGGGCGCAAGCCUGAUGCAGCCAUGCCGCGUGUAUGAAGAAGGCCUUCGGGUUGUAAAGUACU